rnacentral:misc_RNA from 1 species
AACUUUUGACAACGGAUCACUUGGCUCUCGCAUCGAUGAAGAAUGCAGCGAAAUGCGAUACGUAAUGUGAAUUGCAGAAUUCAGUGAAUCAUCGAAUCUUUGAAUGCAUAUUGCACUCUUUGGUAUUCCGAAGAGCAUGCUUGUUUGAGUAUCAGUAAACACCUCAACCUCCUCUUGUUUUUUCAAAAGGACGGUGGACUUGAGCUAUCUCAACAACCAUCCCCGGGAGGCGCGUGGCUUGAUUUACUUGUGCAGCUGGACUGUAAUCUGAGCUAAAAGCAUAUGUACUUAGGCCUUGUCACACAGGAUAAUUACCAUUACUGCAGCUAAGAUAAACGAUAAUUGUCCUCAUUACAGACUGAUGCAGGAUUUUAUGACUCUUUAUGGGUUUUUCAACUCGAUCUUAAAUCAAGCAAGACUACCCGUUGAACUUAAGCUGAUGAAUACGCGGAGAUU